rnacentral:tRNA from 1 species
GCUGGGGAUAUAGCUCAGUUGAUAGAGUGCUUGCCUCACAUACAAAAGGCCCUGGGUUUGAUCCCCAGCACCACAGCA